rnacentral:lncRNA from 1 species
ACAAUGAGAAUAAAUGUGUAAAAUGAUAAAGCGGGAACUUUGGGAGUCUAGUGGAAAGUUGGGGGCUCAGGAGAUGUGCGUGAGGAGACAGUUGGCGGUACAGCUGCAGCGACUGCUUUGUGGUUACAAAGUGCCUGGUGGGCCCAAGAUGAAAGCCUGGAGAUUUAUACUGCAGUCAUCUACAACACCAUCACAGUUUGGAAGGCACGCCUUCUAUCAGGAGAAACACACUGGACAAAUAAUCCUAAGAGGAGAUUCAGGAAAAGGAUCCCCACUCACUGCCUAUGGAGGAGAGUUCAGAGACCUGACUUUGAUGUACCAAUCCACUCUCAGAGGCUCUCUUUCGGUCUUGCUUGCGUCCUGCUGAGGAGUGAAGCACAAGACUCCCGAAGCAACCUGUA